ACCCUCAAGCUCUAGCAGCUUGGUGCUGGGGCAUCUACAGUGACCUGUAGGCCUUGAAAGAAGUGGCGGGCCUGUCAUGACCCCGAGCGUAGUAAUAUUUACCUCUCGCUUAGGGCGUCUUACGGGACUCUAGCCAUUAAACCCCCUAUAUUUAUACAAAGGUUGACCUCGGAUCAGGUAGGAAUACCCGCUGAACUUAA
rnacentral:misc_RNA from 1 species